GGCUCCAUAGUGUAGUGGUUAGCACAUCUGCUUUACAUGCAGAAGGUCCUGGGUUUGCGCCUCAAGUAGAGCCA
rnacentral:tRNA from 1 species